CGCUGAAAGCAUCUAAGUGCGAAACUAGCCACGAGAUGAGACUUCCUUACAGGGUCGUUGGAGAUGACAACGUUGAUAGGCUACAGGUGUAAAGGUUGAGAGACCAAAGCCGAGUAGUACUAAUAGCCCGAAGCUUUCCAAGC
rnacentral:ncRNA from 1 species